GGAAAGUUGCCGGAGUGGUCGAUCGGGCCGCACUCGAAAUGCGGUGUACGGGUAACUGUACCGGGGGUUCGAAUCCCUCACUUUCCGCCA
rnacentral:tRNA from 1 species